GAUGAUAGUAGAAUCUCAUGUUAGCCAGGCCUGUCUCAAAAUUGACUCAAUGUCUCACACACGCACUUGUGUAUUUUACCAUGGGUAAAUCUUUCAAAUGCACUGCCUACGAAGUGCACACCCAUUCACAGCACUCCAUUUUAGGAACUAGCAAUGUUGUACAUUGUAACAACAAGCCUGCGUGAAGUUUUAACUUGUCUCAUGAAACUCAUCUAUGUACUUAUUAAACAAGUGGUUGAAAAUAUCAGAAAAUCUAUGUUUUCUGAGGGGUAACAAAAGUUUUGGGUUGACUUCUAUUUAGGUCCAUGAGAUAGAUGCACCUGGGUGGGUUUUACUCAACAUUGGCAAAUGUGAUGGUUAUGCAAUAAAAAAUGUAAUGGAAGUAAGAACUGGCUGGAUUUUGUGUCCUUGUUGUGGUGGUGCAGGUGUUUGAUUGUGUGUGUUUUGUAAAAAAGACAAAACAUCGAUGAAUUGAAUGUGGAAAAAAAAGAACUGACUGGAUUGGUUGAAAUAUUGAGGAGCACAAAAUGUAAUAUUUAAUUUAAAAAGUAAAGGAAAACAGAGCUCUGAAGUAUAUGUGUGUCAACCUUUUCCUAAUUUCAAGUUUUCCACACUCCCAGACUGCUUGGUCACAUCCAGUAUUAAAGUGUUAAAGGUUAAACAUCCAUCCCUAGAAAGGUCUUCAAAAUGAAUUUUGCUCUCAGAGUGCACCAGAUUAAUGCAUGUUCAAAAUCUUUGCCUUGGGGGGCCGGACCCCGCCCCCAGGCAUUUGUCCCCCCCAAUGUUGAAACCAUGGCUACACCUCUGGGUUAGCCGCUAACUAGUAGGAGCGGGAAAGGAUCUGCACACUGCUUGCAAAGGACUUAAUUAGAUCAAAGAUGCCUGAGGAAGAUCUGUCUGUUUGUGUGAGCCAUGUUACAGCAUCUAUGUCACACCUGCGCUUACAUUGUAUACACUUGCAUUUAUCUAUAGGGUUGCAAGGGCGUAACCACGCAUUCUUUGGGGGGGUCGUGUCCCCCCCAAUGUUGAGAAAAUACUAACCUGUCCCCACCAAUAUACAGCAUGAUAAAAUGUAAAAUAUAUGUUCUCUUUUUAGGAACCCUGUCAAUGGAUCAGUCUCUUGUUAUGUCUUAUUUAUUUUCAAUUUAUUUCCGUUUGUUAAGUGUGUGAAUCCCCCCUCCUAAUUGUACACUUGUGCGAUUUAGUUUGAAACCACCUCGCGACUUUCUGCGUUGUCAUGGUUACCCCACACUCUUUCUUCAAUGAGAGCCAAGAAAGUAAAGUUGAGUAAUGGAGGAUUUGAGGUUACCUAAAAAGCAUAAGAAACUGGACCAACAGCCAAGCGUACGCAGUUUUUUUCAGACAGUAAGUAACUUGAUACCGAGCUUUGAGUAAGCAAAUAAAAUGAGUAGCCUCGUAAAAGCAGAAUAUUAAAUAUAGCUCAUAAAGGUCAGUCGCUGUUCUUUUGAUAAAAUGACAUGGUUACGAUGCAGGCAGCACAGAGAGAGAAGGAGAGAGACAGGCAUGCUGAAAGCAGUGGCCAGACAGGGACAUGCUCUGAACAUGCAGGUGAUCAGGCAUCACAGAGAGACAGGGAGAGAGACAGGCAUGCUGAAAGCAGUGGCCAGACAGGGACAUGCUCUGGACAUGCAGGUGAUAAGAUCCAUCCAACUGUCUGCAAACAUGGAUCUCUGAUGCAGCAGUGCAGUUGGGAGAUUCUUACGGGUGCCAAGUUUGCAGAAAAUUUGGCGAUUACCCAGCCAUGGUUGCACAUGUUCAAACACAUGACAGAGCAGCCAUAUCUCACAAUGGCUACAAAAUAGAGAGGUGCCAACACAACUGUGCCAACACAAGAUCUCCACACUACCACUGUGUGUGCUCAACCAUUACUGGCAGCAAAAUUUCAUGCAUAAAGCACCUGCAGACCUGCCCUGGCAUGAGGACACCACCUCCAUCUCAAGGCCUCAGCACGCCGAGCCCAAUGCCAGCCACGCACCCGCCACCUCCAUCUCAAGGCCUCAGCAAGCCGAGCCCAAUGCCAGCCACCACCCGCCACCUCCAUCUCAAGGCCUCAGCACGCCGAGCCCAAUGCCAGCCACGCACCCGCCACCUCCAUCUCAAGGCCUCAGCACGCCGAGCCCAAUGCC
ensembl:lncRNA